rnacentral:misc_RNA from 1 species
AAGUCGUAACAAGGUUUCCGUAGGUGAACCUGCGGAAGGAUCAUUACAGUUUAGGCGUGUGCUUAAGUGCACCGCUCAUCUACACUGUGCGUACGCAACGUAUAUCUCCGGGGAUGCAAGUCUCCGGAACUCAACUCAACAAACAGUUUUUAUUGUCAGUCAUGAAUUAUACAAAUAUUCAAAACUUUCAACAACGGAUCUCUUGGUUCUC